GAUGAACGCUGGCGGCGUGCCUAAUACAUGCAAGUAGAACGCUGAAGCUUGGUGCUUGCACCGAGCGGAUGAGUUGCGAACGGGUGAGUAACGCGUAGGUAACCUGCCUCUUAGCGGGGGAUAACUAUUGGAAACGAUAGCUAAUACCGCAUAAAAGUCGAUAUCGCAUGAUAUUGAUUUGAAAGGUGCAAAUGCAUCACUAAGAGAUGGACCUGCGUUGUAUUAGCUAGUUGGUGAGGUAACGGCUCACCAAGGCGACGAUACAUAGCCGACCUGAGAGGGGGAUCGGCCACACUGGGACUGAGACACGGCCCAGACUCCUACAGGAGGCAGCAGUAGGGAAUCUGCGGCAAUGGGGGCAACCCUGACCGAGCAACGCCGCGUGAGUGAAGAAGGUUUUCGGAUCGUAAAGCUCUGUUGUAAGAGAAGAACGAGUGUGAGAGUGGAAAGUUCACACUGUGACGGUAACUUACCAGAAAGGGACGGCUAACUACGUG
rnacentral:rRNA from 1 species